rnacentral:rRNA from 1 species
CUGCCCUUGACUCUGGGAUAACUGCGGGAAACUGUAGCUAAUACCGGAUACUUUCCCUGCUGGGCAUCCAGUGGGGAAGAAAGAAUUUCGGUCAAGGAUGAGCUCGCGGCCUAUCAGCUAGUUGGUGAGGUAAUGGCUCACCAAGGCGACGACGGGUAGCCGGCCUGAGAGGGUGACCGGCCACACUGGAACUGAGACACGGUCCAGACUCCUACGGGAGGCAGCAGUGGGGAAUAUUGCACAAUGGGCGAAAGCCUGAUGCAGCAACGCCGCGUGAGGGACGAAGGCCUUCGGGUUGUAAACCUCUUUUAGCAGGGAAGAAGCGAAAGUGACGGUACCUGCAGAAAAAGCACCGGCUAACUACGUGCCAGCAGCCGCGGUAAUACGUAGGGUGCAAGCGUUGUCCGGAAUUAUUGGGCGUAAAGAGCUCGUAGGCGGUUUGUCACGUCUGCUGUGAAAUUUCGAGGCUCAACCUCGAACUUGCAGUGGGUACGGGCAGGCUAGAGUGCGGUAGGGGAGAUGGGAAUUCCUGGUGUAGCGGUGGAAUGCGCAGAUACCAGGAGGAACACCAAUGGCGAAGGCAGGACUCUGGGCCAUUACUGACACUGAGGAGCGAAAGCGUGGGGAGCGAACAGGAUUAGAUACCCUGGUAGUCCACGCCGUAAACGGUGGGCACUAGUUGUGGGGACCUUCCACGGUCUCUGCGACGCAGCUAACGCAUUAAGUGCCCCGCCUGGGGAGUACGGUCGCAAGACUAAAACUCAAAGGAAUUGACGGGGGCCCGCACAAGCGGUGGAGCA